CACGUAGGGUGCGAGCGUUGUCCGGAAUUAUUGGGCGUAAAGAGCUCGUAGGCGGUGUGUCGCGUCGGCCGUGAAAACCUGGGGCUUAACUCUGGGCGUGCGGUCGAUACGGGCAUCACUGGAGUUCGGCAGGGGAGACUGGAAUUCCUGGCGUAGCGGUGAAAUGCGCAGAUAUCAGGAGGAACACCGGUGGCGAAGGCGGGUCUCUGGGCCGAUACUGACGCUGAGGAGCGAAAGCGUGGGGAGCGAACAGG
rnacentral:rRNA from 1 species